UAGCUUUCUGCUUUCAAGCGAAGACUGCUGACGACCCAAAUCAGCUAUUACUUGUUUCGUUUUCUUUUGUAUUCACAGCCGGUUGGAGCACAACGCCAAUGCUCCCUUUCAAUCACACAUUCUCAUCCAUAAGCGUCAACCCAUCAUUCGUUUCUUUGAUAAAGCUGUAUUGUAUUCGCUCUAGCAAACGCCACUGCGGGCCUUCGUGUGUCAUUGGAGUCAGCCACAAGUCUACCUGCUGACAUUGACAAAAACUACCAACACCAGCGAGCAUUUAGCAAAUGAGUUACGGUUGCCACUCUGUUUGUCUCUGUGCGCCUGGCUAGGAUUACAAUAAUUCUACACCGAUUGCGAUUCCGAAUAUCGCUGAUACCGACAGCGUUGACGAUAAUGAUGACAAUUGCUGUCGUCGCUGAAUGAGUGUGGGAUUGGAGCGAUUUCUUAGAAGCUGAUGGCCCUUCUGUUCUGAUACCAAAAUGUAAAUUUCCGGUACAAAUCGCAAAUUGAGAACAGUGUAGUAUGGUGUGGUACGGUAUAUGUACAUACAUAUAUAUAAAGACCGCAUUAAAACUGAAAAUCUUGACCCUCGAAUCCAUUCGGAAUAAAUGCCAACAAUAAAUUGAGCUGUUCGAAACUCGAAUUGGUGGCCAGCGUUGGAUAGGACUCCUCCAACAUUCAACAGCCGAGACAAAAUCGCAUGCUACAGCCAGCCCUUGUUCGAAUAAACUUAAUUCGAUCGCAUAACAGCGUUUGCGUCAUACGAUGUUAUUUUACUGGGCAAGCAGCGAAUAUUGAAAGAUGUGCUCGUUAAAUGCUAAAAGAGAGACACAAGCCAAA